rnacentral:rRNA from 1 species
UAAUACGUAGGGGGCGAGCGUUGUUCGGAAUUACUGGGCGUAAAGAGCGCGUAGGCGGUCAAAUAAGUCAGGCGUGAAAUCCCUCAGCUUAACUGAGGUUUGGCGCUUGAAACUAUUUGACUUGAGUUUAGGAGAGGAGAGUGGAAUUCCCAGUGUAGCGGUGAAAUGCGUAGAUAUUGGGAGGAACACCGGUGGCGAAGGCGGCUCUCUGGACUAAUACUGACGCUGAGGCGCGAAAGCUAGGGGAGCAAACAGGAUUAGAUACCCUGGUAGUCCUAGCCGUAAACGAUGGGCACUAGGUGUGGGAGGUAUCGACCCCUUCCGUGCCGCAGCUAACGCAUUAAGUGCCCCGCCUGGGGAGUAUGGCCGCAAGGCUGAAACUUAAAUGAAUUGACGG